rnacentral:rRNA from 1 species
CAACCUACCUAUCAGAGGGGAAUAACCCGGCGAAAGUCGGACUAAUACCGCAUAAAACAGGGGCACCGCAUGGUGAUAUUUGUUAAAGAGAUUCGCUGAUAGAUGGGCAUGCGUUCCAUUAGGUAGUUGGUGAGGUAACGGCUCACCAAGCCGACGAUGGAUAGGGGAACUGAGAGGUUGGUCCCCCACACUGGUACUGAGACACGGACCAGACUCCUACGGGAGGCAGCAGUGAGGAAUAUUGGUCAAUGGGCGGGAGCCUGAACCAGCCAAGUCGCGUGAAGGAAGAAGGAUCUAUGGUUCGUAAACUUCUUUUGCAGGGGAAUAAAGUGCAGGACGUGUCCUGUUUUGUAUGUACCCCGAGAAUAAGGAUCGGCUAACUCCGUGCCAGCAGCCGCGGUAAUACGGAGGAUCCGAGCGUUAUCCGGAUUUAUUGGGUUUAAAGGGUGCGUAGGUGGUUUGAUAAGUCAGCGGUGAAAGUUUGCAGCUUAACUGUAAAAAUGCCGUUGAAACUGUCGGACUUGAGUGUAAAUGAGGUAGGCGGAAUGCGUGGUGUAGCGGUGAAAUGCAUAGAUAUCACGAAGAACUCCGAUUG